UGAAAAUUCUAGCAUGCUCGGUAGCUUUGUUGUUAAUUCUAAUUGACCAUGGAGCAAAAGGUCAUCAUUUGACUAGAGAAGAGCUUGAUUAUGAGAAACAAUUUGAGCUCCUCCAGAAAUCAAGUGUUAAAACAAUCAAGGUAUGUUGUUUAUUUUAAUUAGUUCUUGUAGGAUAUAUGAUAUAUUACGAAUCACAUCCUCAAUUUGGUGAUUUUUAAAUGAUUUAAUAUUUGUUACAAAUUGUUCUGACUGACUGUUGAUUACUGGCUUACUGCACAAUUUUAUUAUUGGAUGAUUUUGUUAACAAUUAUUUUCUAUCCACUGUUAUAUGACAAAUCCCGUUUAAAUUUCCAUAUAUAAACCUCACAUCUGAUGUUUUCAAUCUAAUUACGUUAAUUACAUUUGACCUAUUAUCCCAUUUAAAACAACUAAAAGACCAGAAGCAAGUUUUGUUAAUCUAGACCCUGAAUCAAAGCUACACAAAAAUUUUAAAUCUUAAAAAAACUGUAAAUUGUAAAAAAGAUGAAGAGGUUUGUGAUUAAAAGUUUUCAAAUUACAUUCCUAUUUAUUAGGGGUGUCAAUCAGGUAAACGAUACGGCUUUGAGUUUGAUUUAUCGAUUUUCAGUUAUAAAGGGUUGAAACAAUUAGCGGGUUGAUUUGGGUCAGUUUUAAAAGUUGUUGAGUCGGUUCGGGUUGGGUUUUUUUUUGGUUUUUAUUUGGGUCGGGUGCUUAUCAGUUCGAGUUGAACACAGUCGGUUUGAAAAUGACAUUUGCAAGUUUUGGGUCAAAAACAUAUAAGCUCCUUAUCGAAUCGAGUUGUAAUCACUUUGGGUCAUAAUUGGUUUGGGUGAAACUUGGUCAGUUUGAAAACGAGUUUUGCAAGUUCAAAGUGAUUCGAGACAAAAUAAAUUGGGUCUUAUUCAGGUUGGGUUGGAAUCAAAUUGGGUCUUAAUCUAUUUGUAUUGAGCCCCUAGGUCUGUUUGAAAAUCGGGUUUUGGUUAAAAACAAAUUUGAUAAAAUCAACACGGGUUAUAAUUGAUUUAGUUUGAAGUAAGCGAGUCAGUUUGAAAACGGGUUAUGGAUCAAAACAUAUCGAGUGAAAUCGGGUCGGGAUAUUAUCAGUUCAGGUCAUAGCCGAUUUCAAUUGAACUAGGUCGAUUUGAAUAUGAGUUAACCAGUAUAAAACAAGUUUUGGUUCAAAUCAUAUAGAGUUAAAAUUAGAUAAUUAUUGAGUAUGAUUAAGUAGAUAAUGAGAAGGAAUGGGUCAAGAAAUAAUUGAUUAAGUCUUACAGAAGUUACUUUUAUCGAGUAGCGAGUUGAAACGAGUCAUAUCAAAAUCGAGACGAGUUUUAAACAAGAGAAAAAUUAAGAGUCGUGUCUUAAAUAGAUAUAAUUAAUCGUGUUUCAAGUAGGAAUGGAUGUGUUCAAAAUCGAGUCACGACUCAGGUAAGUUGGGUGAUCAAGUAAGAAAUUAGAACGAGUCGGGUUGUAAUUGAUCUAAUCAUAAACACGUCACACUACUAGAAAAUAGGCAAAUAACGACGGAAAUUUUUCGUCGGUACUGGUUGUCGGAAAACUUUUUGUAGGAAAAUGGGCCUUUUCCGAUGGAAUUUCCAUCGGAACCACUAUAUCGACGGAAUUCAGUUCGCCGAAAGUUAAUUUUACCUAUUCAUUUGCCAUAUGAGGGCAAGUUAUGUGGUCCUGUUCAAUAUAGAUGGAUGUAUCCCUUCGAAAGGUAAAUCAAAGUCCCCUUCACCUCCUCUUUCAUACAAAACCUUCAUAGUCAUGACCUAUUUACACAAUUAUUUAUACUAGUUUAAUUGCAGGUUCCUUAAUCACUUGAAACGUAAAAUUGGGAACAAGGCUCGAGUUGAAAGUUCCAUAUGUAAUGCUUAUCUCACCGAAAAGAUAGCAAACUUUUGCUCAAAUUACUUUCAGGCGUCAGUUGACACAAAAACUCGGGGUCUCGGUCGAAAUGUAAAUGUAGACCUGGAAUCCACAGUGGACAACGCUGACUUACCAGAGUUGUUCUCGGUGGAUACCGGUCGUGUCUCAACUGAGGGUAAAACUCGGUAUUUAGAUGAAAAAGAACUUGAGUGUGCUCAUUUGUUCGUUUUAUGAAACUGCGGCAUUCUUGGUGAAUAUGAAAGGAAGUUUGAGGACUACGUUCUUAGUUCCCGACCGUUUUUGCAUAGAGAAGAAGUUAUGGAGAAAUGUGACACCGAAUUCUCUGAUUGGUUUCACCAUAAGGUGGUUAAAGAGAAACCAAAUUCAGAUGUCCUGCAAGCAUUGUGCAUGCGUCCUUUCAAGCGUGUUCGAACUUGGAGGCAGAUUUUUGUUGGUGAAUUUAAUUUCCAUACACAUUCCCAUGACAAACACAAGUCUACGAUGAAUUAUGGUGUGUGUGUUUCUAGUGAGGACGGUGGAGAGUACCUUGGCAUUCUAGACGAUAUAAUUGAACUUGUCUACACUGAUCCAAAAAAGAGCACAAGACUAUUUUGUUUAAGUGUAGUUGGAUGGAUUGUGGUAGGGGUAUGAACAUACAUGAACAAUACAAGCUAGUCAAAGUGAAUCAUACUAAGAAUUACCCCAAGUAUGAUCCCUUCGCAUUAUCUUAUCAAGUGAGCCAAGUGUACUACACAUCCUACCCAAGCCUAAAAAGGGAUCGAGUUCAAUGGUGGGCUGUGUUUAAAACACAAGCAAGGUUAGUGGUUGAUGCUCCAGUGGACCUUGAUUUUAUGCAGGCACCGUCCCCACAAGUCCAUGCAACGCUUUGUCCACCGAAUGACAUUCCUGACUAUGACCUAGUUGAGGAUGACGACGAAGAUGAUGAUGGCGGCUUAAUAAUCUCAAGCAAUGAAGAUGAUGAAUCAAGCGUCGACUCUAGUGAUAGUGACGAGGAUGAUGAGAUCGAUGUGGUUUUAGAUGAUAGUAGUGAUGAUACCAGUAGUGAUAGUAGCGAUGAAAGUCACGACUAGGAGAUCGAAUUAGCUUGUUAUUGUAAAAUGAAAAGUUAAAUUUGCUUGUAGUUGUGUAAUUGUCGGUUGAAUUUGAUUGUCAUUGUAAAAUCAAUUAAAGAGUUUGUCGUUUUAUUGUUAAUCUUGUUAUAUCUCAUUAUACUUGUAAUUUUUAUAAUGUUAAUAAUAUCAUGGAAUGUGAUUAACAUCUUUUUCAGGUGGAAAUGGUGGGAGGGAAAAAAGGAGAAACAUCAAAGAAAAAUAAGGAAAAGGAGAAAAGGAAAGUUCUCAUUUAUGAGGACGACGAGGAAAUGGUGGACGCGGAGGACGCGGAAGAGGUGACAAUGAGGAUCCUCAAACACAAAUGCAGAUACAAUAUCAUGAGCAACAACUUCAGGGGAAACAAGCCUCACAGUCUUCUAAGUUGGUGGUAUUAGA